GCUUUGGUAGAUCAGUUGGUAGAUCAUCCCCACUCAGUCACUCAGGACUACAAUAAGAUUUCAUCUUUCGAACGGGAAGAUGGGGGUUCGAAUCCCUCUCGAGGCA